rnacentral:rRNA from 1 species
GUGGAUUAGAUACCCUGGUAGUCCGCACCGUAAACGAUGGAUACUAGGCGUUCGGAGAGUUAACCCUCUGAGUGCCAAAGUUCACACAUUAAGUAUCCCGCCUGGGAAGUACGGUCGCAAGACUAAAACUCAAAGGAAUUGACGGGGGCCCGCACAAGCGGUGGAGUAUGUGGUUUAAUUCGAAGCAACGCGCAGAACCUUACCUGGCCUUGACAUCGCGAGACCGGUGCAGAGAUGCAUCCUUCCCUUCGGGGACUCGUAGACAGGUGCUGCAUGGUUGUCGUCAGCU